AAGACCCACAUAAAUUCUCACAGAAACUCCAAUGGCGGAAGGAAAGCCAGAGCUCAAAGACUCUGUUUCAGGACAUCACGCUGAGAAAUCACCACGUCAUGACAAAGAAACGCAUGGAACGAGUGAUGACAUUGAUGAGAACACCCCAAUUGAUGUAGUGAAAGGACCAAGUGUGUUUGAAAGGAUCAAGGAAGAAGUCGAAGCUGUUGUGGAGGCCGUAAUUCAUCCUCACAAAGAUUCUGAUAGUCAUGACUCUUCUUCUAAGUGAGAGAGGUUGGUUGUUGGUUAAGCGUCGGUUGUAUGCCACUAUUGUUGAAUCAGAAGUUAAUAUUGUAUGUUCGACCUUUAUACAACUUGGUUGAUUGGAAUGUUUGUUGAAUUCUAGCUAUUUACAUAAUAUGGGGCAUGGUUGUUGUAGUUUGCAGAUACCGUUUGAAUGAAAAUGUUUCAUGAUUGCUCAAAUAUGUCCAUCAUUUC